CACUUUGUAAUCUUCCUUUUUUUAAUUUGAUAAACUUAGCGUUUUUGAUCUUUAUAAGACCUUGUAACUUUUGUAAAAAAUGGGUGAGUUAUAACCUUUCAUGCCCUUGCUCUUUCAUGCACCAGGGUAUUAAACGAGCUCCUUCAAACGACACAGUUUCGGUAAUGGAUUCUAAAGGCAAAGCCAAAGUGGGCCUCGAAGACAAGAAUCAAGAGAAAGGCCCAAGAGAAGGAAGAACCGCGCAACGGCUUCUUUUGAAUCACGACAAGGUGGUGGCCAGAAACAAAGUACAGAUGACGUCGUGCCGUGGAGAAGGUAAUGGAUUGAAGCUGUCAAAUCAGUUCUCAGCCCUUGAUUGUGAAGCAUCAUAAGAUCAUGACAUCUGUCGAGGAACACUAGGGUUUUAGAUCUUUGUAUAAAUAUCCAUAGAUGUAACCUCAAGUUUCUCAAGUUGAAUGAAAUGCAUUUUCAGUAAUUAAAGCAUCAUCUUCUUCAGUUUACAAAUCUCUUUAUGGUAUCAGAGCUAUGGCAAUGGAUCCAUACGCUCCUCCAUCUCUCAAAAUAGUCACAUCUGUGACUGUGAAGCUCACAGACACAAACUACAUUCUGUGGAAACGACAGUUCGAAGCAUUUCUUAACGGACAAGGUCUGUUAGGGUUUGUUACUGGAUCUGCUCUUCAGCCGGUCCACACUCUCACCGUACCUAACAUCAACGGCACUGCCACCCCAGUUCCAAACCCAGACUAUGCUCUUUGGUUUCAAACAGACCAAGUAAUCCAGUCAUGGCUGCUUGGGUCCUUCUCUGAAGACAUUCAAAGCGUGGUCCUUGACUGCACCACAUCAGCUCAGAUCUGGAUGACUCUCGCAAACCACUUCAACAGAGCAUCGUCUUCACGUCUUUUUGAACUCCAAAGGAAGCUUCAAACGACUUCGAAGAACGAGAAGCCAAUGAUGGACUAUCUGCGGGAAAUCAAGUCCAUCUGUGACCAACUUACAUCGAUAGGCAGUCCAGUUCCAGAAAGGAUGAAAAUUUUUGCGGCAUUACUGGGAUUAGGAAAAGACUACGAGCCCAUCAAGACAAGCAUUGAAGGUACGAUGGAUACGGCACAGACUCCGACGUUUGAUGACAUUAUACCAAGGCUCACUGCUUUUGAUGAUAGACUCCGAAGCUACAGUGUUGACACAGGCGUGACACCACAUCUGGCGUUUAACUCAACACGAGGAAGGCAGUUCUUCACAAGAAACAGAGGAAGAAGCAGAGGAGGUCGAAACUUCUUCUCUACCAGAGGUCGGGGUUUCCCUCAACACAUCUCAUCAGCUUCAUCGUCAUCAAGAUCCUCUGUUUCGUCUGAAGCUGAAUCAAGACCGGUGUGUCAAAUAUGUGGAAAGCCAGGACAUGUAGCAGUGAGGUGCUGGCAUAGAUUUGACAAUGCUUAUGAUGAGGUUCACAACGCUCUGGCUGCUCUCCGCAUGUCUGAGAUACAGGAUACUCAAGGUCACGAAUGGUUUCCAGACACAGGAGCAUCUGCGCAUAUCACAAACUCACCAAGUCACUUGCAACAUUCUCAAGCCUACCACGGCUCUGACUCGGUUAUGGUUGGAAAUGGUGAGUUCCUUCCAAUAACCCACACCGGUUCAUCGAGUAUCUGCUCUUCCUCAGGUAAGGUACCUUUGAAAGAUGUGUUGGUAUGUCCGAAUAUUGCAAAGUCCUUACUUUCAGUGUCAAAACUCACUAAGGAUUAUCCAUGUGCAUUUGACUUUGACCGUAACAAUGUGCUUGUGUAUGAUAAGGCAACCAAGAAGGUUCUGCUUCGGGGAAGAAACACUAACGGUCUGUAUCAGUUGAAAGGGUCUCAGUUUCAGGCGUUCUACUCCACAGGUCAAGCCGCUGCAAGUGAUGAGAUCUGGCAUAAACGUCUGGGACAUCCCAAUCCAGUUACACUCCAACAUCUAUCAUCUACCAAGUCUAUAUCUAUCAAUAAAAGUUCAAAAGGCCAAUGUGAAGCGUGCAAGAUGGGAAAGAGUGCUCGUCUUCCGUUUGAAGCCUCAACGUUUCGAGCAACACGACCUCUUGAACGUCUCCACUGUGAUCUUUGGGGGCCAGCUCCGGUCACUUCGGUCCAAGGAUUUAUCUACUACGUUGUUUUUAUUGACAAUUUCUCUAGACAUAGCUGGUUGUUUCCUUUAAAGAAGAAGUCAGAUUUCUUCUCUGUAUUUGUCGCUUUUCAAAACAAUGUUCAGAAUCAAUACAAUGCUUCUAUUGGUUCUUUUCAAUGCGAUGGGGGUGGAGAAUUUAUAAGCAAUCAGUUCUUGAUUCAUCUACAACAAUGUGGGAUCAAACAACUCAUCUCAUACCCUCAUACACCGCAACAGAACGGUCUUGCAGAAAGGAAACAUCGUCAAAUCACUGAAAUGGGAUUGUCACUGCUUUUCCACAGUCAGGUUCCUCAGAAGUUUUGGGUAGAAGCCUUCUUUACCGCAACCUAUCUCAGCAACAUGCUGCCACACAGUGCUCUAUCUGAUCAUAAAACUCCAUCCGAAAUCCUCCACAACAGACCACCUCAGUACUCCUCCUUGAAGGUGUUUGGUUGUGCCUGCUUCCCCACAUUGAGAGACUACACAAGAAACAAAUUUGAUCCGAGAUCGUUAAAGUGUGUACUCCUUGGAUACAGUGAGAAGUUUAAAGGCUACCGCUGCUUGAUGCCAUCAAUGGGACGUGUUUAUAUCAGCAGGCAUGUAACAUUUGAUGAAGCAGAUUUUCCCUUUUCUAAUGUCUACCAGCACCUUAGAACUCCUGCCAAAACACCUCUGAUGGAAGCAUGGUAUAAGAGUUUCUCGGUGAAGUCUCUCAACCGUGAUAUAAACCGCACCACUACUGCGUCAGUUAACUCGCCUCCACAAGCAACAGUUCAUAUUCCGAGUUCAAGUCAUCAGGAGGCUCCAGUUCAAACGCAUCAACAGUGUAAGACAAGAUUAAAUGAAGGAUCUACGGCUUCCUCAUCAUCAAGUGUUGCACCAAGCACCACAGAACCCAUCACCAACAUUGAAAUACCAGUUGGGCAUGAGGUAAGACACAGAAUGAUCACUCGAUCUCAGUCAGGAAUUGUCAAACCAAAUCCGAGGUAUGGCUUGUUAACAGAGAAUGUAGUCUGCCUGGAGCCAAGGACAGUUGCUGAAGCUCUCAAGCACCCAGGUUGGAACAAUGCAAUGCAUGAGGAAUAUGAUAACUGCAUGCUAGCAAACACCUGGUCCUUAGUUCCUUACACUCCUGACAUGAAAGUUUUGGGAAACAGAUGGAUUCACAGAAUCAAGCUAAACUCUGAUGGAACGGUGAAGAAACUGCGAUCUCGCCUGGUAGCUCAAGGAAACAAUCAAGAAGAAGGAGUCGACUACCUUGAGACUUACAGUCCGGUGGUCAGAACAGCUACAGUCAGGUUAAUCAUCCAUAUAGCUACGGUCCUUGGGUGGGAUAUCAAGCAAAUGGACGUAGCAAACGCAUUUCUUCAUGAAGAUUUGACUGAGACAGUAUACAUGCGUCAACCAGUUGGCUUUGUAGACAAAACACAACCGGAUCAUGUAUGUCUGCUACACAAGUCAUUGUAUGGUCUAAAACAAUCGCCAAGGGCAUGGUUUGACAAGUUCUCUUCGUUUCUGCUUGAGUUCGGGUUCAAAUGCAGCAUCAAAGACCCCUCUCUGUUUGUGUUCUCAAGAGGAAAAGAUGUGAUUAUGCUCCUUCUGUAUGUUGACGACAUGUUAAUCACCGGAAACAAAUCAGAAGCCAUGAAGAAGUUCUUGUACGAGAUCAACAAUCAGUUCAGAAUGAAAGACCUUGGUAAAAUGGAAUACUUUCUAGGGAUACAAGCUCAAUAUGAUAAGAAUGGAGUAUUCUUGACACAGGAGAGAUACGCUCUAGAUCUUCUGGCUUCCGCAGGUAUGAGUAACUGUUCGGUUGCAGACACUCCCUUACCGAUACAGCUAAACAAAGUCCCAAAUCAAGACGUUGCAUUCGAAAAUCCCUCUUACUUCAGAAGCUUGGCUGGCAAGUUACAGUACCUCACCUUAACAAGACCGGAUCUUCAGUUCGCAGUGAACUUCGUAUGUCAGAAGAUGCACGAGCCAUCAGUAUCAGAUUACAAUCUACUGAAGAGAAUCAUGCGAUACGUUAAGGGAACAACUGAUUGGGGUAUAAAGUUCAACAGCGACACAGACUUCACGAUUCGUGCUUACAGCGACAGUGAUUGGGCAGGGUGUCCUCAUACAAGACGAUCAACAGGUGGAUUUUGCACCUUUCUUGGAACAAACAUCAUCUCGUGGUCGUCGAAGAAGCAACCCACAGUCUCACGAAGCUCUACAGAAGCAGAGUAUAGAUCACUGUCCGAGACAGCUUCUGAACUGAGUUGGCUGUGCUCGAUAAUGCGCGAAAUAGGAGUACCAAUUCAGAUAACACCCGAGCUCUACUGUGAUAAUCUAUCCUCUGUUUAUUUAACAGCCAAUCCAGCCUAUCAUAAACGAUCAAAACAUUUCGAGCUUGAUUACUACUAUGUUCGAGAAAGAGUAGCUCUUCGCGCGUUACUGGUCAAACACGUUCCGGCGUCAAAACAGCUCGCUGAUAUAUUCACGAAGUCUCUGCCGUAUGUUCCGUUUGACGAGCUGCGAUUCAAACUUGGCGUCUGUGAAUCACCCACUCCAAGUUUGAGAGGGACUAUUAAACGAGCUCCUUCAAACGACACAGUUUCGGUAAUGGAUUCUAAAGGCAAAGCCAAAGUGGGCCUCGAAGACAAGAAUCAAGAGAAAGGCCCAAGAGAAGGAAGAACCGCGCAACGGCUUCUUUUGAAUCACGACAAGGUGGUGGCCAGAAACAAAGUACAGAUGACGUCGUGCCGUGGAGAAGGUAAUGGAUUGAAGCUGUCAAAUCAGUUCUCAGCCCUUGAUUGUGAAGCAUCAUAAGAUCAUGACAUCUGUCGAGGAACACUAGGGUUUUAGAUCUUUGUAUAAAUAUCCAUAGAUGUAACCUCAAGUUUCUCAAGUUGAAUGAAAUGCAUUUUCA
rnacentral:lncRNA from 1 species